CAAAACAUACAACGCCGCUAUCCUUACUAGUUCAUCUCAUAUUACAUAAAAAAUUCCUUUCAUCCUGUGCAAUCGUCUUUUUUUCCUCCUUUUGACAUGCAAUUAAUCUCCAAUCAUUUUAUACACUUCAACAAUCAUCAAUCAACAAACUUUCCUAGGGGGCAAAAUUGUCAUGUUUGAACAAGCCUACUAAAAAACAAAAUGAGAAACCAGAAAUUAGAUCAUCAUGUUCAUGCCAUGUGAUGAUUGGAAAUGCCAUUCAUUCGGUGCUUAUGUCUCAGAGCGCUUGGAUUUCUUCUUUGAAGGCUCUCCAGCAGCAAUAUCUUUCAGGAUCAAUAUUCUCAAAAGAUUUUCGCUUCCCAAACUCUUUUGCCUUUUUCUGCAACACAAGUCAAGCAUUUAGGAACGAAUCCAAAUUGUGGGGAGACUAAUACAUAUUAUGCAUGUGUAUCAAAAUCCUUCAAUGUCCGAGGAACAAAAUUUUGUACUCCCUCUGUUCCAAUUUUUUUGUCCACUUUCACUUUUUUUGCUGUCCCAAAAUACAUGUCCACUUUAGAAAGUCAAUGAAUCAAAUCUUGUAAAAUUCCCCUUUUGUUCUUUUCCUUUUAAAUAAAAGUAAGAAGCCAAAACACAAAAGAAAUAACAUUUAGAAGGGUAAUUGAGGAAACUUAAAACUUUUCGAGUGCAAUCAUUUUGUUCCCUUAAAAAGUUGGAUUCCCAAAAAAGGGACAAACAACUUGGGACGGAGGGAGUAGCAGUUAAAGUCUAAUUGAUCUUAGUACAUUUAAACAUUAAUGACAUUGCCAUGGCAGCCACAUCGUUCCUGUCAUCAGUAGAUGUGCAAAGAUCAUGCCAUGUGGGUUCCUGCAGUGGUGUAACCGAGAUGGAAUGAAAAAAGCAAAUACUAAAAAGUGAUGCACAAGGCCAAAUUUCAGAAACAAACCUUGAGAGGAACAAAUGCCUCUUCCUUUUUUCUUUUGUUUUCUGCUGUUUUCUCAGCCUGUUGCUCCUGCUUUUCUUGCCA
rnacentral:lncRNA from 1 species